UUUUCCUUUGCCAGACGACUUGAAUGGGAACAGGGUGCUGUAAGCAGUAGAGUAGCCUCGUUGCUACGAUCUGCUGAGGCUAAGCCUUUGUUCUAUAGAUUUGUUUGACACAGUCAAACCACUUCUUCCCAGUACGCACCCAAUGGAGGUGUGUACCAUCGACAGUCCCCACACACGCACAAGUCCCAGCGUCGGCCAGCGCGUAGGUGGAUCUUAUCCUAUUCCCCUUUUCCUUCUCCUUUCCCUUCCCUUUCCCUUGCCCUGCUUCCCUCUUCCCUAUCCCUUACCCCCUCCCUCGCCCUCUCUUGGCCUCGCACAUGCGCGCGUGCACUUGCUCUCCAGCACUUGCACGCGCGCGCCCAGACGCUUGCCCCCCCGAACUUUCCCCUUUAUUACCGUGCCUACGACACUAGUCACCAUCUGCGGCCACAGAACCAUGAAAGCACCGUAUCCCGUCCGAUCUGCGAAGUCAAGCACA
rnacentral:misc_RNA from 1 species